rfam:Alistipes finegoldii CAG:68 genomic scaffold, scf201
GGAAAUGUGGAAAGAUUUGACUGAUUGCAACCACAAUAAAAAAUCGCUAAAACAGCUUAU